GCGGGGCGUGGCUGGGGUGGAGCUACGGUGGAGGCGGGCGGAGCUGGCAAGGCCGGAAUGUUGGACCUUGGGAACCGCGCGGGGCUUAGCAAAGGUGUGCCAGUGGCGCAGACCAGGCAGUGCCCUUUAUAAGCGUCCAGUCCGCGCCGCACUCGUAGGCAACAAAGUGGCAGCCCCAGGGUCCUCAGCGACCUGAGGUGACCCUUAAAAUGGACCCCGGAGAGCACGGAGGCGGGAAGAGGGUGGUACCCGCAGGUUGAAUCCCGCACCUCCGGGCUGAACGCCCAGGCACCCUGGGAUGGCCAGUGGGGUCCUGAGGGACGGACUUUAUAUGAACGUAUUUUGCAGAAAGAAACAUUUCAACAGAAAACCCUGUGGAAAUUGAGACAAGUUAUCUUCUCAAAGUCCUGAACUCCCAUUCCUACUUCAGAAGGAACUCCUCUGUUCACAGCAGCUAAAGCUAGCCCCAAAUCCAGUUCCUUCCCAAGGAAAUUCUGUUUGGAUGUUGGAUGCACACCUUUCCAAGCAUUGUGUUCUUCAAAUGGAGAUAUCAGGUGGAGGAGCCCCUACUGCUGAGAGGAGAGCCCCUCACCCUGCCCCCAAGCCUCAUCUGCCAUCUUCUCCAGCUGCCUCCAGGCCACCAGGAAGAGAGCUACACUGUCGGAACAGUGCAGAUAAAUCAGCAAACACAUGGGUGAGAGAGGAAGGCUGUGAAACAAGAAAAUGAAUAAAAUUCCAAUCAAAGGAAGAAAUAAGGCAGCAAAACCACGUCGAAGUUAUCCCUGUAUAGUGCCGAGUGUGACAGCAUUAAUGAGUGAGAAAGCACGGGCUCUGAAAAUUCCCUCUGCAGCCCACCUCCCACCUGCCAGAGGCCUCAGGCACACCAGCCACUCUGCACAGACGACACUUCCACCCCCUCCCAUGUCUGUGGCCCUACGUCCCAGCUCCUUUCAUAGCCAAGAGCAAGCCGCGUAGUGCUACUCUGGCUGCCUAGCGAUGUUUUUCUGUCCCAUGGGACUCACAACAGGAGAAAUGGUUGUGUGCAAAGGAGUGACAGGGGAAAGGAGCAACCGCAUCCCUCCCUGGGAGGGGUCCAAGACCUGGACCGCAGUAGCAGCUGACACAUGGCAGGGAAGCCAGCAGAGGAAGAGAAAUACUUAGCAAGAUGUCCUUGGAACCACAGUAGAGGGGACGGCCAUCUUGCCAGCGCAACCCAAGGAAAAGCCCCGAGUCCCGUGCUGGAACGAAUUGGAGGUCAACCAAUCACCGAGUGACAGCACAACCUGACGCGAAAAAGGCCCACGGGACCUAAACCCUGAACCGCUGCAGCUUAAAAACCCCAACCCACCACACCCGGGCGCGACUUCCCUGACUCCUCUCUCUCUCUCUGAGUCAUGGAACCUCGCCCGAGACCCUUGUUCCCAAUAAAGCCUUUGACUGCUAAAA